rnacentral:rRNA from 1 species
UACAGAGGGGGCAAGCGUUGUUCGGAAUUACUGGGCGUAAAGGGCGCGUAGGCGGCCUGUUAAGUCGAACGUGAAAUCCCCGGGCUCAACCCGGGAACUGCGUCCGAUACUGGCAGGCUUGAAUUCGGGAGAGGGAUGCGGAAUUCCACGUGUAGCGGUGAAAUGCGUAGAGAUGUGGAGGAACACCAGUGGCGAAGGCGACUCUCUGGUCUGCAACUGACGCUGAGGCGCGAAAGCGUGGGGAGCAAACAGG